AGCUUUGCGCAGUGGCAGUAUCGUAGCCAAUGAGGUUUAUCCGAGGCGCGAUUAUUGCUAAUUGAAAAAAUGAUAGAA
rnacentral:snRNA from 1 species